rnacentral:sRNA from 17 species
GCACUGGAUGGGGGUUAUAUCGCAGUGACCCAGUGCUGCCCAUCGUAGGAGAGCGACGGUAGAGGGGCAGACAGUGC